rnacentral:rRNA from 1 species
GUUGAACGGCCACAUUGGGACUGAGACACGGCCCAGACUCCUACGGGAGGCAGCAGUGGGGAAUAUUGCACAAUGGGGGAAACCCUGAUGCAGCGACGCCGCGUGGAGGAAGAAGGUCUUCGGAUUGUAAACUCCUGUUGUUGAGGAAGAUAAUGACGGUACUCAACAAGGAAGUGACGGCUAACUACGUGCCAGCAGCCGCGGUAAAACGUAGGUCACAAGCGUUGUCCGGAAUUACUGGGUGUAAAGGGAGCGCAGGCGGGAAGACAAGUUGGAAGUGAAAUCCAUGGGCUCAACCCAUGAACUGCUUUCAAAACUGUUUUUCUUGAGUAGUGCAGAGGUAGGCGGAAUUCCCGGUGUAGCGGUGGAAUGCGUAGAUAUCGGGAGGAACACCAGUGGCGAAGGCGGCCUACUGGGCACCAACUGACGCUGAGGCUCGAAAGUGUGGGUAGCAAACAGGAUUAGAUACCCUGGUAGUCCACACCGUAAACGAUGAUUACUAGGUGUUGGAGGAUUGACCCCUUCAGUGCCGCAGUUAACACAAUAAGUAAUCCACCUGGGGAGUACGACCGCAAGGUUGAAACUCAAAGGAAUUGACGGGGGCCCGCACAAGCAGUGGAGUAUGUGGUUUAAUUCGACGCAACGCGAAGAACCUUACCAAGUCUUGACAUCCCUUGACGAUGCUGGAAACAGUAUUUCUCUUCGGAGCAAGGAGACAGGUGGUGCAUGGUUGUCGUCAGCUCGUGUCGUGAGAUGUUGGGUUAAGUCCCGCAACGAGCGCAACCCUUAUGGUCAGUUACUACGCAAGAGGACUCUGGCCAGACUGCCGUUGACAAAACGGAGGAAGGUGGGGAUGACGUCAAAUCAUCAUGCCCUUUAUGACUUGGGCUACACACGUACUACAAUGGCGUUAAACAAAGAGAAGCAAGACCGCGAGGUGGAGCAAAACUCAGAAACAACGUCCCAGUUCGGACUGCAGGCUGCAACUCGCCUGCACGAAGUCGGAAUUGCUAGUAAUCG